UGUUAGGGCUGCAGCACCCGGGGCGCGAAUGCCCCGAGAAGCCCGGGGCUCAGGCGGCACCGACAGGGAGUGAACGUGUCUGAUAUUGAUUCUUUCCCCAUGGCUCCCAUCUUGGUAGGCAAAUGAUUUUGUACUUCGCUGAGAUUAAAUAUUAAUACAUAGGAAAAGAACUUAAAAGAGAGAUUCCAGGCCUCUAAAUAAUUACUUACAAUUCAUUUUAAAAGCAAAUUAAACCCCGGGCCCCUGGGAGGCUGAGGCAGGAAGGAAGAUUGCAAGUUUGAGCCCAGCCUGGUCAGCCUAGCAAGGCCCUGUCUCAGAAUAAAAAAUAAAACGGGCUGGGGGCAUGGCGGGAGCAGGUCUGCAUCAUUUUGGGGAAAAAUCAUUUGAUCAGGCCUAGUUCUUCUGCCUAGAGGCCAGCCUUUGGGGUUUCCAGACAAAACUCCAUUUUGGUCUCCGGUCACAGCUGAGACCUCAGUGGUCCGGUGAUGCUGUGAUGCUCCAGGACAAGAAACAUCCUGGGAGGAACAAAAUCUUCAUCUACUCAGUUCCUCAUUGUUCUUGGAUUGUUACACCUUGUUUAUCCUGAUGUACUGAACUCUUGGCAAGUCAUUUGUUACAUCUGUUUCUCCCGAUGUACUGAAUAAAGGUGCGGUAAGCUUGUGGGCAUCUGUCUUUGCCGGCCAGAGCAGCACUGAUCAGGCCCAAAGCUCAGCUGCUCCAAGUCUCAUUUUUCUACCUUCCCUGUAUGAUGUUAAUUCGCCUUGUGCUGCUGUGGCUCGCAGGAGACUAGGACUCACUGCAGAGGUUCUGGUAACGUGCCCUGUCCCUGGCCCCUACAGGAAUACAGCUCAGUGUGAAGGCCCCAGGUUCAAUCCCCAGUACUGAAGGAAAAAAAGAAAACGGUGUUUGUCAGGUAUGCGUUUGAGUUUGAGUUGCACAGUGCAGGGGGUCUUGGUGGGGUUCACUUUCUCCCCAAGUGGAGGUGUGUUCUGCUUCAAGGGGCUGUCCACAUCCACAGCUAGGACAGCAGGCUGAGGUGAGGCCGCAGGAAGUGCUUUUCCCCGGCUGGGACUUAGUCCUGUGCAGCUGCAGGGAUCCCCACUGGUUCAAGCUGCAGUUUUGGCUUCUUCGAACCAAGGAUGGCUUCAGGCACAGCUGGACCCAGGUAUCCAGAUGAAGGACAGGCCGGGGGUCCUGCCCUGUUCUGGCAGGUGUGAUCCUCGGGUGGCAGAGCUGGCGACCACUUCAGGCUGACGGCCUCUGCUCGGCGAACCUCUUUCCCUUCUGGCUCCGGCUUGGCCCGGGUCUCUCCCCGAUCUCGGUCCUGGCUGCCCCCAGCCCCCUGGACCAACAAUCAGAAUCCCCUCCUGCCUCAGAAACACAGCUCAGCGUGAGGGGUGCCAGCCCUUGGCCGGUGUCGCGACCACCACAAAGGCCACUGGGCGGGGUCGCCCAGUCCACUGGCAGUGGUGCCCCGCCCCAUCCUUCUGGGCUGGAAGGAGACCCAGGCCGGCAGGAGGGCUUCCUGGAGGAGGCUGCGUCUGGGCAGCGACCUGGGCGGAGCGGGACUAGAUCUUCCCAAGCUUCUGGGCCAGCGGGGCCGAGCUAGGGAGCAGCGUCUCGCCUCCCUCUGCACUCCUCAGGCCUCUCAGGGCUCUGGCUCGCCUUGCUCAGCCUCUCGUGGGACAAAGGCCAGUGCUCUUGUCAGCCUGCAUCGCCACCUGGUGGCGACAGCGUGGGCGGUGCAGGCCUCAGACAAAGGUUUGAAAUGAGGCGAAGUAAUAUUUUUUAUUACUUUUUUCUCUUUCAAGUGUUAGUUUUGGGGUUUUUGUUGUUUGUUAAAUUAAUUCUUGGUACACUUGAUAUACAUAAAGAUCACAUUCAUAAUAGGGAAUUGUACCUGUUCAUAAUAUAUCUUGAUGAUUAUUUUUUCCCCAUUCCUCUCCUUUCCCAAGGAAAAGGAAAAAAAAGAAUGGAAGGAAAAAAUAGAAACAAAGCUUUUGUAAAUAAGGAGGGGGACAAGGGUUGAGGGGUGAGAUCAGAAUUACUUCACAUUUUCCACGUGAGGUGAAACUAAAGGAUGUGAAGACGGAAGACUCAGCCCAGCGCCCAGCGGUGUAAGGUAGCCGGCCUGCGCGCGCACACACACUGCCGUCCAGUUGAGCGCCGGUGCUGGGUGCUGUCGUGCGCUGCACACCACUGCCCUCCGGGCCGCCUGUGGGCCCCGUGCUUCACUGAGGCGCUGCACUAAGGGCCCCGGAGAGAGCCACUCGCCCUGCACAGAAGAUGGGCUCCCUGCACGCCCCGCCCUCUUGUCCACCGGGGUGAACCCAGCUACUUGGCUCCUUCCACAGCUGCUUGUGGCCCUGGAGGCCGGCCUCGGUGGUGUCUGCCCGGAUUUGUGUCCCAUCCGCGGAAGGGGCUUCUCGGGAGCAGGCGGGCUGGUGGCGUCUGUCCUCAGGAUCUAGUGUGGCCUUUGGGGCCUGAGCGAGGGUCGGGAGGGCUCCCUGCCGUUUGUCUACCGGGCGCCAGAGGCUGGGAAGGGGCACUGUGUGUUCUGCAGCGGGUCCUUCUGGGGCCCCAGCACGAGCCUCCUCCUGAGCGGCUCCUCCACCUCCUGCAGCGCGCAGGCUGGUGCCGGCCUCCGAGUUUCAAGUCGGGUUAGCGGCGGGGCAGGGGUGACAGGCUUGGGUCGGUGGGUGGCGUGUUGCCUGUUGUAUUUCUCACACUCCAAGCGUUUCCCUCCCACUGAGAGCUGGGAAAAAAUAACACGUGACCUUGGCAAGAUCUUUAUUUUCCACAUGAAAACAACAACCACCUCCAAGCAACCAGCUGAAAUAUUUGACGGAGAAGCGCAGGGGGCCAGGGACAGCGUGCGCUCCGAUUGCCCUGCCGCCAGGUGGGUCAGCGCCCUGCAGCCAGGCGACAGCCCAGCCGCCAGGUCUCUUUCUUGGGUUUGGAGGAAGCUGCGUUGAGCGCCCAAGGCUGGCCCCACCCGCUCGGCUUUGAACAUUCACCACUUCGAAGAUCACACAAUGUGGGCCCAUCAAAAUAGGUCAAGGUGUCUGUUUUAAAAGUGAGUGUACACAGUCCACUUAGAAAUCCACCUCCCUGAGUUGUCAGUAAUACGGCACCUUCCUGGCUCUCAGCAAACACUCACACAGGGCUGCAGGUCUCCCCGCAGCUGUGAUGAAACUCCUGGGCCCAGGGGCCUUGAGGGUGACAGUGACAGAGCACUGGGAGCAGGAGAGACCUUUGUGGCCGCUCAGCUCUCACCAUGGGGACCCGAGGGGCGUGGGCCGGGCUGAGAACGCACUGGGCUGCCAGUCUAUGUCCCCCGGAGCAGCCCUGCUGACCGCAGGCACUUUUAACAGCAGGAAGUCCUUGUCUCCCAGCUCUAGAGCAGAGCCUGAAGCCAGGGCACGGGAGCUGGCUGCCGCGCUGCGGGUCUGCCCUGGGCUCUCGGGCGCCUGGUGGCUGCUGGCGAGGUUCAGUGCACGCAUCACCCUGACCUCUGCCUCCACCUCCACUGGCGCUCUGCCUGUGUCUGUGCCUAAUCCCCUCUCACAGGACACUCACUGGAUCGGGACCCACCCUAUUCUGCCAUGACCCCGUCUCUGCCAGCGGUGUCUCGAGUGACCCUGCCCAAGCACGGUCAUCCCUGGGGCCUGAGGUCAGGUAGAACCAGGAGGCCUGUGUUGCAGCAGAGCAGGCACUGGUGGAGCUCUGUCCUGGGCUUCCUUUCCGCCCUCAUGCCUGACAUAUGGGCACGGCCUGGGGGCUGAAGCUCAUCCUGCAGCCUUGGAGACCCUGCCCAGUGGUGCCUGCUCUCUGCCCAGCUUCUUCCCUGAGGUCAGACAGCCCUCACCCACGCCUCACUCGUCCCGAACCCUGGGCUGUGCCACCCAGCGACCCUGCACAGCUGUGGAGCCAGACGGUGGAUGUCAGUGCCGGGCCCAGUGUGAGUCCUGGGGGGCUGGUGCCUGGCCCAGCGGGGUUCUCCUCCCCCUGUCCUGGUCCCAGGCAUCCUGGAGCCUCGCUGGGACUGGGGUGGAUUGUGGGAGGCCUCACUCUGGGCACAUGCAGGAGCCUACGCAGGUCAACGUUUAUCCCCCGGGGAGGCAGAAUGUUUGGUGCCUCUUACAAAAUAAAAAUGCAGGAACACUUGCUCAAAGCUCAAGAACUUUUGUAGUAGCUGCAGAGGAGUGAACCUCCCGAGUGGAGACAGGGCGGCUGUCCAGGUCCCCGCCCUGUGACACCAGUGGGGGGCAGAGGAAUGCUCAGAAAGCCACUGCAUUCCCUGUCGCUGCCUGCUGAGCCGCACUGCCUGUGGGAUGUCUGGACAAGCAGUUGAGACCCGUCACUGCUCCGCCAGCCCAGAACACAGAUGGUCUCGGGGGCCAGGCGAGCGGGUGCAGGGUGCCUGCUUUCCCUGCUACCCAACACGGGGUUUGUGCAGCCAGCUCACCAGUUCAGAGGGCUGUCCGGUGCUGUUCAGCAGCUCACUACCUGUGCAGCCAUCACCAGCAACCCCAGAACAUCUCUAGCCCCAGAAGAAGGCCCUGCCCACUGGCUGUUCACCCCAGUCUCUUCUUCCCAGGGCCUGGCAACCAUGUGCCUCCUUUUGGUCUCCGGGUUUGCCUGUUCUGGAUGUUUCAUAGACACGGAUUCAUGCUGGGGAAGCAGCUCAGUGGUAGACCACUUGCCUGGCAUUCAUGUCACUAAUUUAUUGAUUAGUGUCUCUGGGGACAGAGCUCUGGAGGGGACUAGGUUCAAUCACCAGUACUGGGGAAAAAGGCCCAUGCUACACAUGGUCUUUUGGGUGUAGAUGACAUACUUUUGAGCAGUCGCAUCUAGGUCACCUUUACCCAAACAGUGACAUCCAGGACUGGGAAUUCCGGGGACCCCACCUCAGUCAGCAGCUCAUUCUAUGGUAAUUUGUGUAGGUGACACAGAGCCACUAAUGGGCACCUCCUUACUGUGCCUUUCCCCGUGAGGGCAGUUGGAUAUGCCCCGUGCGUUCCCCAACUCCAAAAGGCACAGUCACGUGUUAGGGCCUCCCUGCCCCGACCCCUUGAGCAGGAGAGAGCAGAGGGGAGGCAGGGGAGCGCCGGAGCAGUGUCUGGGCGCGGGUCUGUGGUGGAGAGAGGCGGAAGUGAACUAAUCUGGCGACUGGUCGGCUCCUGCCUCCUGCCGGGUUGUACUCAGCAGAGGGCGUGGGCGUGGGAUCUGAGCCCUUCGGAUUGCUCUGGCGCUGCUGCCGCUGCAUUACCCAAAUGGGGCAUGGAAUGAAGGCUCCAAGCUGCUUAGCGGCGGAAUUUCAAUUUUCUUCCGCCUUCAUCCUCGCUUUCUGGUGGAGGAGGGACCCGGAAGCCCACCCAGCCCUGCUGUCUCCUCCGCUCCAUCCCACUAGCCCUUCCCUGGCGGAGUCCCGAAGCCACCAGCCUUGAGCUGCUCCUCCAGCUGAGCACCGACACGGCAGACCUGGAGCUGGAGCUCAGGGCCGGCUGGGCCAGGUGUCCCGCUCCAGAGUUCUCUGGGCAGUGGCUGGAGCCCCUGGGCUCUGGGCUUCACAGCGGGGCUGUGCAGUUUGGGGAGGAGUCAGGUUUGGAGAAGGUGGAGGCCCAGUUAACACCUGGUGAGGAGCUCCGCCCUCAUAGUCAACGGAAACGCCUGACAGAGGCGCUGUGGAGACACGCGGUUUGUUCCUCCUUGUGAUGACUUCUGGUUUCUGACGGCUACUGCCUUGUGCACCCAGUCCCCCAGCUUUGCACUUCUGCAGCUCAAGGUGGGGUCCCAGCACAUGUGAGCCUCUCUGCUCGCACUGGCAUCUGGACCACAGGGAUUCAUUUAAAUUCCACCCUGAGCACCCACACUGGACGGGGCAGCGACUCAGGUCCUGAGCCUCCGGCCCUGGUAGACAGCAAGAGCCCCAGGAAGCCUCUUGGUUCCCGUGCCCCCCCCCCAGGGCAGCUCUGUGGGGGUCCAGGCUGAGUCCCCAAGGGCCAACCUGGCUUGAGGUUAUUGACUAACACUCAACUCACCGCCCCAGGGGAGCUAGUCAGAGGCUGCCUGAGCACAGACACAGAAAGGAAAAAUAAAUGUUUCAUGGUCUGGACUAGCGAGGGAAGAAAAUAAAUAGCUACAUCCGCAAGUUAAGUGCAGGCUUCCUACUUGGGGUCCUCUGAGUUUCUCGUCCCACUCCUCCCUCUGAGGUGAGACUGCAAACCACCAGGCUCCAGUCUGAGUUGGGGAGAGGCAGGGUCACCAAAGCCAUCGCCCUGAUGAGGGCUUCCCGGCCCCCUGAGCAGAGCGGGGAGCUCUCUGAGGGCCACCCUGGAGGCUGAUGUGACAAAGCCAGGGUGGAGAAUGUACCCCAAGGCCUCUUCUGGGGGUGAGGAACGGGCAGGCCUGCAGUGUCCGGAGCCAGCCGUUGGCCUACCAUCCUGGGGGGCAACAAAGGACACCGCCCCGCAUGAACCACGUUUCCGAGGAGGAAAUUACAGAGGACAAAAACGACCACUUUUUGUUUUUUAAAAAAUAAGUUCCUUUGUCCCAAGGCAAGUAUUACAAGCAAGGAAAAAGUCCAUUGCACUGAUUUGGGCGGGCACAGGGGCCCAGGCUGUUCUGGCUGCCAGGACUCGGGCAUUCUUUGCCAUCUUGAGGGUGGUGAGCAGGGUGAGUCCCCAGGGGGUAAUUCUGCUCCUGGGUCUACACCCCCCUCUCCAAGCUGGGAGGGCCUGUCAGGAGAAGCAGCCCUGAGGGGAGGUCUUGGCCCUCCACGAAAUAAAGGGGCCUGGACCUGAGUCACAGCUGGGGCAGUGGCCACAAGGCUGGGGCCAGAGGGCGGCAGACAGGACACUCCCGGCUGGGGGAGGCUGGCGGUGGGAAGCAAGGGGUGGUCUGGAGGAGAGCUACAUCUGGGCUGGCCUUAAUUGGUCCCCAGGGGCCCAGGGCCCUGUGGAAUUGUCCUGUCCUCUGAGAUCUCGUCUGUCCAGAGUCUCAGGCUGAGAAGAAUGGCCACUCAAUCAGACACCCAACCUGAAAAUGUCAUAUUAUUAAUUGUGAAGUGUUUAAUAAUCACAGCACAAUCAUUGCAGGCAGCAGGGUGGAAAGUGCAAAUGUAGUUUUAAAAUAGUACAUUUUAAUUUGGUCAUUGGCAGGAAAAAAGACAAAAUAAAUACCCUCUUUGGCGGCUGGGGGUGAGAAUGGGGGGAGGCCAGGUGGUGUCCACCCAUGUCCUGUAGCCAGGGCUACUUCCAGGCAGGCCUGCCCGCCUCAGGUGCCAGCAGCCACCUCCCCAUGCUUGGACCGGAGUAGGAGUUUUGUGAUGUCCUUGCAGUCUGCCUGGCAAGGUCCCAGCGCGGUGGCCCGCGGCUGUCGGGUGGGGCGUCCUGUGAGCUGUGUGGACAGCAUGCUGGUUGUGUCCCUGGACCCUGGCUGGUUCUCGAUCCGUUGGUGACUGAGUGUGGGUGUCUCAGCCUCUGACUCAAUUGUUAAAUAAUCUGUUUCUUCCUUCAGUCCUGCCAGACUUCACUUCGUGUACUUCAAGUUUCUGUUAUAUGUGGAUACAUUUAUGGUUGUGCCUUUUCCUGUUUUAUUGACUUUUUAUCAUCAAAAAAUGAUUCUCUUGUGUCUACUAUUACUUUUUGUCUGAAAGCUUAUUUUGUCAUCUGUAAAUGCCACAGAAUUUUUUUUUUUUUGGUACCAGGGAUCGAACUCGGGUCCUUGAGCUUUCGAGUCUGGCAGCAGAACCACUGAGCUAAAUCCCCAGCCCAGUCAUCUAUAAAUGUAAUAGUUUCGGCUGUGCUGUGAUUAUUACUCACACGGCAUAUAUUUUUCCUCCUUUUCCUUUCUACAUUUGCAUCUUGAAAUUAAAACAGGUCUUGUAGACAACAUAUAGGUCAUCUUUGAUUUUUGGGGGGGUUGUACUGGGGAUUGAGCCCAAGCCUUUCACACUGAGCUAUACCACCCAGCCCUUUAUUUAUUUAUUAAAUUUUGAGACAGGAUCUAAGUCUCUACAUUUCACCAGCUUGGUUUGAACUUGUUAUUGUCCUGCCUCAGCCUCCCAGAGUACUAGGAUGGCUGGUUUAUGCCACCACCCCUGGCUUUGCUGUUUGUUUUGUGUCUCAUGUCUUUUUGUUGCUCUGUUCCUCCUUCACUGCCUUCAUUGUGUUAAACAAAUAUAUUCUAAUAUAUCAUUUUAAUUCCCCUAUUAAUUGUUAAAUACAGUGGCACCUCGGUUCACAAACUUAAUUCUUUCCACGAUUCUGGUUGCAAAUCAAAUUGGAUGAGAACCGAAUCAAAUUCCCCAUAAGUCAACAUUGAACCUGACCAUUGAAUUUGAUUCGGUUCUCGUCCAGUUUGGGCACAGAUAGCUAGGCAAGAACCCAGGCUGAUGGGUGGUUUGGGGGACAUGGUGGAUUUAGAGGGGAGGCACGGGCUAGGCUGCUGGAGCACACAAACUGGCCCUCUGGCAUUCCCACACAGGCAGCACCGACCGGGAAUGUGGGGAAGGGGGUAGUUGUUUGUUAGCUUGUCAUACCUUAUAGCUAAUUAUUUAAUUACCCUAAUUUAAAGUUUUACCAGAUUUAGCAUCAAAACUUAAAAAUCUUGUGAUUGCAGCAUGAGAAAGUCAUAAUGUAAUUAACCUGUUUGGGGUAACAGAUUAACUCAGCUGAGGCGUGGCAGCCUCUAUCUGGAGCAGAAUCGAGCUGAGAUGUGGGGACUUCAAGGCCUGGGGGAUCAGAAAGCUGCCUACACAAGCGGGGGCCUUGGUCACAGCAGCACACCCUGCUCGCCAGUACCAGGAGCCAGGAGGGGUUCCUCCCAUCCAAGUACUAGCCAGGCCCGAGCCUGCUUAGCUUCUGAGAUCGGCCGAGACCGGGCGUGUUCAGGGUAAUGGUCAUAGACAGGACGGGGCUUCUGUAAGCUGAGCCCUCUGGACGAGGGAGCGUGAUUCCAAGCCCAUUUGCAGUUACCAAACCCCAUAUUAGAGAGAAGGCCACGCUCCCUCCCCUUCCUGCCCUUCUCCAAUACUGUUCACAGCUUAAGCGCUCUAUGAAGGCAAAGCACUGGCCAGGGCCUGCUCCUCCUGCCACGAAGAGGGUGCUCAGACACUUCUGGGAUCGGCUCAGUGAAAAGCAGCUCUGGUGAAGAUUCGGGCGUGAGAGGCCCACUGUGGGCGGGCUGGCUGGAGGGUGGUGGGCAGUGCACACGCUCCAUCUGGGCACACAAGAGCCUUCUAGCCAUGCCUGUGUCCACUCGAGAGCCGUACGCUUUGAACGCUUGCUGCAGCCAUGUGGAGACAGGCAGGCGUCCUUGCAGCAUGAGCUGCUUGAGCCUCGAAUGCCCUGACUGCCUGGGGCCCGCUGCACCUACUGGACAGAAGCACGGAUUUCAAUGUUGGGAAUAUAUCUGAACAUAUCACCUGAGGCCUUGGGAGCCCCACAGCCACGUCGCUUCCUCAUGGGGUUAGAGAGAAGGGGUUGUUAACAGAGGACUGGAGCACAGAGCCAGACCCCACAAGGGCCCAUCCUCCAAGCCAGCUGAGCAAAUUCCCCCCAUGAGCCCCAGGAGGUGGCUCCCAUGAUUCUGUGUGGCCAAGGUCACCAUGCUUUUGAAUUCACCAGCUCACUGCUUUGCCCCAGUUGUAGCCAUGUCUUCCCUGCUGCGAAGGUCCUCCGGAGAGUUCAGAAUUUCUAGAAGUUAUAGCUCCACUAAUUGAACCGGGAAGAAAAAGUGGAACAAGAGGGCAGUGUUGAAGGGGCCUUGCCUGGGGCCAGCUUCAGGAAAAUGGGAGCAGCUUCAUGGGGGCGGAGUGUCACGAGAGAGGAGGAGAACAGCAGAAACUCUGGUGGGUGCAGGCAAAGGCAAGCCAGAAUGAGGGCUUUGUUACCCAGUUCUGAGAGGAAAAUAAAGGUGAGGACUGCAAUUGGGUCAAGUGUCUGAGAUCACCAGCGACCAUGUUCAUCAUCACUGUUAUUGUCCUCACCAUCAUCAUCACCGAUGCUUUAUUUCUAGAGUGUCCCCAGUCUCGAGUGUUCAGAGGAGGGACUUUUUUUUUUUUUUUUUUUUUUUGGUACUGGGGAUUGAACUCCGGUCUUUAUUUUUUGUUUUGUUUUGUUUUGCUUUGUUUUGUUUUUGUUUUGGUGCUGGGGAUCGAACUCGGGUCCUUGCGCUUGUGCAGCAGGCGGCGAAACCACUGAGCUAAAUCCCUGGCAGAGGAGGGACUUUUGACAGGUGAGUGCUUACAGGAGUGCUACGGCUGAUCUGCUGUUCGAAGGUGGGGUGGAAUGACCUGGCAGGUUCUACCCCCCUCUUCUCUAUUCCUCUCCCUCUCUGCAUCCUGGUCACCAGGAUGGGAGCAGCAUUUCCUCUGCCAUGUCUGUCUGCCAUGCCGUUUCUGCCUUGGAGCUGGCCAACCAUGGACUGAAACCAUAAACUAAGGCAAACUUGUCCUCCUUUAUAUUCCAAGUAUUUUGUCUCAGUGGCAAGGAAAGUGACUAAGACCACCCCAUCACCUCUGUUAUCACUGUCACCAUCAUCACCAUUGUCACUGCAGACCAGUGGACACAGCGAGUACCAAACUACUCGAAGAUAGCAUUUCUGGGUCUGUGGACAGAGCCUGUGCAUUUGAGGGUGCACUCUGUGUGUGUGCAUGUAUAUGUGUGCGUGUGUGUUUAUGCAUUCUCUUGCGGAAGAUGAGAGUGUCUGAAUGGAAGAAGAGGGCAGGAGCCCUGCACUGUGCAAAGGCCCACAGCUGAUAGUCAGCGGUUGAGCUGAGAGCUCCGUGAAGGGAGCUGGCAGUGCUGGGUCUUCUCUCUGGUGCAUCUUGCGCAAGCCCCUGCACUGCUGGGAGCCAAGCAUCCUGGCUCGCUUUGCACUCACUGUGGUGCUCAGGUGCUGUUCAGUCUGCCCUCUUUGCCAGGUCGACUCAGUGCAGGUUAUCAGCAGAAACAGGUGAAGGGUCCUCAAGUCCCACACACAGGCCCGCACAUAGUAGGGUUCCCUGAUCACUGCAGAGACUUUCUAUUGAGGCCUUGUUGUCAGGGGACUCCCACAAGGUGGUGGGUAUCAGCCAAUCCUUUCAUAGGGUGCUACAUAUGUGUAGCUUGAAAUAACAAGGUCAGAUAUAAAUAGGAGGCAAAGCAAUGGAGAAGAGUUACUGAAAUCACCUGAUCCACCUUAGGAGAGAGGUCCUGGAACCUUGAACCCCCUGGGGAGAGACUCCUGUCCCUACACAUGAUGGGCCUGGUUGCACAUCCUGAACACCAGGUUGACCAGCUGCCUACCUCCUCGCUGCCCGCUCUGCCCCAGGACUUCCUACUUGGAGCAAGGCUGCCCUUGAGGCUGCUCUCCCAGUCCCCCUCUCCCACCUACCCAGGCUGUUGGCCAAUAGCGGUCCAAGCGAUCCUGUCAAAAUGCAUUGGCUGGCAUUCUUCCCCCGCAGCAAGCCCUGUGGGGGUCCUAGUGGAAGUCAGUGUGAGACGCAUCUGUUUGUCUGCCCAUCUCUCUGCCCACCAGCCAAUCCUUCCCGACCUCCGCCCUGUCCUCAGCUUUGUGCUGCUGCCCCACAACCACAGCCUGGAUCCCUCUGUUCUCCCUGUGCCAAUUCCCGGAGAGGGUGCUCUGCCACACUCUCACCCCAGCACCAGGCCAGCCCUCGCAAGCACUCCGCGGCUCACCCUUUGCUCUCUCUGGGGCUCAGCACCCGACCGGUGCGGUUCAGCAGCGGCUCCUGGCAGCGAGAGUUCAUGGCUGAAUGAAUAAGCAGAGUCCUGCCAGGAAGCAGACCCUCAAAUGACUGUGGGGGAGUCAUGUGUGGGGCACAGAUCGGAGGGCAGGUGGCAGUACGGCCCCCUACACCACAGGGAAGGUGGGAGGACCAGAAAUAAACACCCCCUACCCCACUGCCAAACCCACCAGAGGCCAGAGCCAGGGAGCCCGACUGUCCAUGUGAAGGGGCAGGCGGGAGACUGGAAGCCCUGCGUCCAGCCCUGUCCAGAGCCCCUGGCCAUCAGAGUCGGACCUCAGGUUGGUCCAGAUGUGGACUCUGAUUCCUGCCCUGGGCUCCGUGAGGCAGUGCAGCAUGAGCACCACAGGGAGGGAGCAGCUGGCUCCUCACCCCGAGCACCUUGGGCACUGGGUUCUGCUCUUCUCUAACAUGCUGGCAGUGCAAGUGCCUUUCAUAACAGCGGCCUGGUUAAUUAUCCGUUUCUGAAAAACAGUUCAGGCUUCCAGUAGGCAGUGCAGGUCACCUUGGAAAAUGAGAGGGCACUGAGGCAACAGAGGAUGGGAGCUAGCAGCGAAGAGAUGCUCAGGUCUCUUGAGUGUUGGGUAAAUCAGGACAUUUGGUGCCAGGCCGCCUGGCUAAUUAGAUUUCCACCAACCCCACAGGGAGCAGCAGAGGCAGAGUCUAGUGAAAAGCAGGCUGAGCGAGCGGCUUUGAGCCUAAGCAUUUGCCAAAAGGUGAGAUAGUGUUGGCUGCUUCAGCGGGCUGCGUCUCUGCUGGGCUCUGCUUGUGCAUCCCCAGCAUUCAUUCCCUCCAGCCCUGCUCCGCUCCUGCUCAGACCCCUGCCCUCUGGAGUCUUCCAUCUCCCUUCCCCCCUGGCUUGCCUGGACUUUUCCACAGAGGACAGAGAAGCAAACCCUUUCCUCCAGAGGCUCCUUGGGGCCUCUCCGCCCUCCGACCUGGCAGGCUGGUCCUGGAGGCCAUGCCUGCCUGGAUGGCAGCCCCACGGAUUCCUCCACUCAACUUCAUGCUGCUUAAAACCUGCAUAUUGGGGGAGACCUGGUGUUAUGUCUGUGCUGAAAAACCUGAAGCUUGGUAAAACUUUAGAGUCUAUGCGCUGGGAAGGACUCGUGAACUCGGGAGCAUCAGAGGAGGAGGCCUGUGGGUCCAUUCAUGGCAGGAGCAGGGCCGCCGGGGGAGCACAGGAGCAGAUCGAGCCGUGUGAUUGCUGCACCCCACGUUGCCUCUUUUGGCUUCCCCAUUAGAUGCACCAGCGCCUGGGGGCUACCUGUCCUCGGCGGAGGUUAGGCUUUGAAUCUAAUGUAAUUUUUUACCAGAAAUGAGCCAGAUUCCGCUUAUGUUUGCAAAUCAAGCAAGGCUGAGAGCCCUGAUGAAGUCUGCCUGGUUUUGUCUUCAGUCCGGUUCUCUGUUUUUAUUCACUUGAACACAUCUUUUCCAAGUAAAGGCUUUAAUUGCCCCAGAACAGAUGACUGAGGAGGUCUUGCGGGAAGCAGGGACAGUUUCCUGGGCUUUGGGGUGUCCCAGGCGCUCUGCAUCUCUAGUUCUAGGGAAACCCCUGCCUGGAACCAGACCCUGGAGGACCCGUGAGGAGGUAGGGUCUGCAGCAGGAGCCCCGGGAGGAGGCGGGGGGACUUUCACCUCCCGCUUAGACUGACUCUGGCUGCUGGACUGUGUGGGGUGGGGUGGGGGGCUCCCCAAGCAGGACAGGGCCCGGCAGCAGCACCCUGGCGCUCCUGCUUUCCCGGUCCAGAUCCGCCCAGCCUUGGUCUUGACCCCUCCCUCCCCUCCCUCUGCAUGCCCCAAGCACCCAUCUGCAGCCCGGACUGGCGCUGCAGGACAUUUCAGAGCGGCCCGAGGGACCAGCUUUCCCACAGGUGAGCAGCCUUUGCUAGCAGCCUCUGGGACAGUGGAGGUGGCCAGGGCUUCAGUGAGCAUUUUAAACAUUGCAGUGUCUGAGUGUCAGCCACAGCCCCCAAAGACUGAGGCCGGGACUGUCGCUGUGGCCAGGUGCCAGGGCAGGGCAGCACGCAGCGGGUGGUUGUGCUGGGGAGGGGGCCAACAUAGGAGGCCGGGAGAGAUGCCCUAAGGGGAGAAGGCCCAUGUCCCAGGGCCGAGAAGACAUCAAGGCCUCGUCGGCCGGGCCUGCCCUGUGCUGCCCCUGCCCUGCGAGGUGCCCCCAGCCACCCCUUCCCUUCUCACCAGCAAGCCCUCAAAGAUCCUCCCAGCCAGGAGCACCCCAGCCCUGAGCUGGGGUGGUAGGGCUCGUGCCAGCUGGCAGGGCUUCCUGGUGUCUCUCUAAAAGACUGAAAAUGAUGACAGACCCUGGCCACGGACCCAGGCUGGCGCGGGCAGCCGUGUGUGGUCAGGGACAGGGGCUCCAAGCCCUUGGGGAAUCUCUGAUUAGUAAGGGGGCAGGGAAGGCCUUCCAGGUCAAGGAGGCAGAGCCCAGAGUGCCCAAAGCCCAGAGGGAAGCAGGUUAGGGUGGGCAGUAAUGGCCAAGGGCAGCACCAUCCCUUCCCUGUACAGCGCCCCUCCCCACACUGCUGGAGGAAGCAGAGUUCGGGGUUUGCCAUGCCCAUUGCAGGUGGCAUGUUUUGUGGACCCUGGAAAGGGCCCACCCCCAUGUCCAGGAAGAUGCUGGGGAAGGGCCCAGGGCGUGCGGUACCACCCAGGGUGAGUCCUGGUGCCGGCCCUGCCUGUGCCAUCCUUUCUUUCUGGGGACGGAACCCAGCCCUGGGCUUUCCUGGGCCCCAUGGCUCUUGGACAGCUCGAGCCCGCAUUUCUGACUGCUGGCAGCCUGUGAGGUGGCUGGCAUCCAGGGCAGCUCUGUGCCCUGGGCCUGUGGCCUGGGAGACCAGCCCAGACGCAGGGCGCCCGCAGUGUCCUCUCCCCGCCGGCCUCAGGCCAGGCAGGGUUUUCGCUCCUGUCCAUCCAGCACAAUUUCUCGGGUUACAAAGGGGGAUCUAUUUUGUUUGUUAAAAAAAAAAAAGCUGAUUAUCAUAGAUAAAUGUAUCUAAUUAGUCUCAUUUGCUGACACACAAGCCUUUAAUUGGGAGUUGAAUAAUUGGACAUAUCUGCAUAUGCAAAUGCUACAUUAUACCCUAUGUCAGUCUUUAACGUGAUUCCUCCAGAGACAAAUAAUUCUCUCAUUUCAGGAGAGAAUGUGAUAUAUUAAUUUACAGACAGACAGCUUUAUUUAGAAUCAGCAACUCUUGUGUUUGUUUACUUGAAGCAGUAACUGGAGAAAUAUCAGCGAUCCUGGCUGAGGAAAUGUCUGGGGUACUAACCCCUGAGGCAGCCCCUGUGCACCUCCGGCUAGGGGCUUUCCUGGCCCUCAGGCGCCAGCUGAGCGGUCAGAGGCCCGUGGAUGCAGCUCUGGCCCUACUCGAGCGAGGGCCAGUGUGGUGCCAGUGUGCGCGGUGCUGGGUCCUGGGCAGUACUCUUUCCCCUUCAGCGGGCCCAGGGUCACAGGGGCUGUGCUGGGGAGGCAGAGCUGGAGGGAUUUGGCUCCAGCAGAAGGAGGAUGUGGCAUUCCCGCCUUCCAAAGGCCCCUCAGCAGCUCGUCGCCUUGGCAACCAGCUGGGAGCCGGCAGAAGCUGACACUGUCCCAAUUCGCCCCAGUGAUCCCCUCCCCACUGUCUCUGGGCCUGGCCAGCCAGCAGAGGGCAGCAGCGGGCUGCUGGUGGCCAUGGUGGGGCGCAGACCCCGCACUUGCGCUGGGGAGAGCAGCAGGAGGGUGACAGGGAUUGGUUGUUGUGCCUACACGGAGGAAAGGGGGUGUCACCAUGGCGACAAUGUGGCCACACCCUUCUAGGUGUUCUGUCUGUUGGGCUGAGGGGCUGAGUAUGCCGAGCCAGCAGCCUCUAAGGAUGGGGUCUCCGGCCUGCUCACGGCCCCAGUUGCUGGCGAGACCCAGGGCUGUGCUCGUUCUCAUUGGCUCACAUGCGCAUUCGUGCGUGCAGUCAGUCAUUCGCUCCUUCUGUCACCUACCCAUGAUUCACGCACUGGCUCGCUUGCUCGCUCACUCAUUCACCCACGAACUCGUCAUACGGAAGGCGUCAGGUGUCUUCAAGUCUCUGCUGCCAGUUUCUCCUGGUUCCGAGCUGGGUCAUUUAUUUUUUGAAGUUUCUUCCCCUGCCUGAGGUUAACCCGGCAUCUACAGCACAAGCAAGAGAAAACAUUCUUGUAGCCAUAUUUCUGGUUCAAGGAAUUCAUCUAGAGGAGCAAAAAAAUAUGGAACAAGAGGAAGGAUGUCACCAAAAGCCCACUGGUCAUUCUCUUUGAGCAGUGUCAAGAGGCUGUCAGCGGGCUGCAACGUUCGCACUGUGGUAUCAGCAAGCAUCAGGGGUAGCUCUCAGAAAGCUUUAUUAAAAUCUGUAGGCCCAGCUGAGACACAGGUCUGGGAGACAGUUAGCUGCGUCCCUCCCCGGGAGCUGCGGUUGUGAUGAGGCCCCUGCCGCCCUGGCCUGGGGCCAGAUGGUGGGUGAAAGGGAAGCCAAUUGGACACAGCUUCAAGGCUGGGGGCCGAGGGCUCUGGGGCUCAUGUGUGCGUGUGAUGGCUCUGUGCACAGGUGAGGCCCAAGUGGUGUGCACACGUGCAGGUGCAUGUGUAAGAAGUGCACCCGUGCACACAGUCUGUGUGUUCUCACACUGACAGGGCCUAGCCCCACAGAGUGGAGGAGGAGCCCCCCGAACCUCCCUUCUGAGCCACCACACUGGGGAUGUGGUCGCAUGGCUGGCUGAGCCCUCAGCCUGCCCUUGUUUGUAGCAGGCGCGGUGUUCAGCCAAGUCGGGGCACGCGGGUGCCUCUUCUCCCUGGUGGUGCAGCCUUGCAGGCUCAAUGAGCCCCAGGCGGGGGUCGGAGGGCAGCAGGAGGGGCCGUUCAGCCUGUGCUCGGCUCCUCUCCUGCGGGGAGUCCACUAUCCCCAGGAGGCUUCAGAGGUGGAAGAAGCCCCUUAGCUUCUGGGGCUGACAUGCAGGAGCCGGGAGGUCCAGUUCACACAGGGCUAUGUCCACCCCUUCAGGACAAUGUGAUCUCAGUGUGAGUGUGAGCAAGCUGUGCACACACCAGACACUCGGACGCAGCACACCUCUGCUCCCAGGGGCUGCUUGCUGACAUCAGGUGCCAGGUGCAAGGCUUUAGCAGUACAUUAGCGGCUGUCGUGUGUGCUGCCCCAGAUACCCUUGAUGGCAGCAGAGGAUGGCAGGGCCGCAGAGGCCAGGCAGUCACCCCAUGCCUGGGCACUCCUGCCCAGCCGCCUCGAGGCAGGUGCUGCAUCUCUGUCCUGGUCUGCAAAUGUGGAGCGGCUGACAUGACAUUGCCUCACCUGGCAGCUUGCUGACUGGACCAGGCCAAGCCUGCAGCUCCUGGGUGGGGUGGGGCAUGGCCCCCAGGUGACUGCCACUCUCUGAUUGUGACAUCUUCAGUUCCACCUCCAGCCCUGCAGGACCCCUCACCCUCUGGCCCAGGAAUCACUGGUUGCAUUGCCAUCAGGCUCCCAUCAGCCCCCAAGCCCAACCAGCUUCGUCCUUUAAGGGGACCUUGGCCCUGCGGGAGUUCAGGGGGCUCUUUCCACAGCGGAGUCAGGGAGAGAGCUGGAUGAGGUCUCAGAAGCUACUGACUGAGGUUGACCGGGAAAGUGGGCACUGAGAUGCGAAGCUGGCCGUGGCCAGUGGACAGGCUGGCUGGCCUACCUCCGUGCUCAGGCUCCUCAGGGACGACUGCACCCAUGGGAGAGAGUGGGUUACUCCUGCCCUGCCAGCGCUGGAGGUGGGACUGUAUCUGCUCUGCUUGCCCCUCCCAGCCUGCCUGGAAUCUCCACUGAGGGCCACCUUUGCCCAAGGGAUUCCACCCCUGCCCACCCCAGGAAGAGGAGUCAGGGGCACAGACACCUUGUCACCCCUCGCCCCUUGCCAGCCCCUUGCUCAGGGAUCUGGGAGAAGCAGACCAGGGCGGUGGGGUCUUCUGGAGCAGGUGGAGCCCAGCCUGGGUCUGCCCAGGAGGGUGGACAUCUGCAGCUGGUUGUUCGCAAACUAUUCUAUUUUUUGACCAAUGUGUUUUAUUGUGGUAAAAGACCCCUAAAUUUUCCAUCUUAACUGUUUUUUUCAGUAGGACAUUGGGCUCAUUCCCAUUGUGCAACCUCACUACCGUCCGUCUGCAGAACCCUUCCUUGGUCUCCCCAGUCAGAGAUUCCCAGCCCCUCCUGGCCCCUGGCUCGCCUUCUGCUCUGUCUCUGAUUCUGCUCCUCCAGACACCUCUAUAAGCGGACCCCUCAGCACUGUCCCCCUGCUCCUGGCUCAUGUCACUCAGUGCCACAUCUGCAGGCGCCAUCUGUCUGCAGGGUGCCAGCUUCCCGGUCUGCUCCCUGUCCAUGGACACGUGGGCUGCUUCUACGUCGAGGCUGCUGCAGAAAGUCCUGCUGUGCGAAUGGGUGUACAAAUAUCUUUCAGACCCUGACUUCAAACCUCUUGAUUACACAUACCCAGGAGUGGAUUUGCUAUAUCACACAGUAACUGUGCUUCUAGUGUUCUGAGGUUCCACUGCCCUGGCGGGUCAUUUACAGUCCCACCAACAGCACACGUGGCCCAGCUGCUGCACAUCCUCAAGAACACUUCCUGUUUUGGGUUUCUAUAGUAGCCAUCCUGAUGGUGGCAGUUGGUGUCUCAUUAGGGUUUGCAUUUCCCUCGGGGCCAAUGAGUGAACCUCUCUCCAUGUGCUUUGUGCCAUUGGGAGAAAUGUCUGUUCAAGUCCUUUGCCUGUUUCAUCUUUCAGUUUUUUGGCUAUGUUGCUUUUAGAAGUUUUCUAUAUAUUCUUGAUGUUAAUUCUGCAACAUAUAACCUAUAAUUUACAAAUACAACCCCCCUUUCUGGGGUGCCUGUUUUCCCUGUGGACACCCUUUGGUGCACACAAUUUUACAACUUUGUCUGUGUCAUCAUUGUGGUUACCCACGGCUUUGUGUCCUAACCAGAGCCAAUGUUGGAGUCUCGAAGGUCAGCUCUGCUUUCUCUCCAGGGAGAUGGCCAGGCCGCACAAGCUGGAGCUUGUCUGGAGGGGCCCCUAUAGCUUUGGGGUGCGUCCUCGGCCAGGCCUCGCUGGCCCGCAGGCUGGGCUCCAGCAGCAGAGCGGGUCCACUUGGGUCCGGUGGCAGUGCCUGGGCCCUGCAGCCCCGGCCAGGCCUGCCUCGGAAGGAGCUCAGGUCUGAGGUGGAGCCAGGCGAGAGCCUCUGGAAGCUCCAUGCAGCAUCAGGGCUGGUCUCGGGGACACGUGUGGUGAGACGCAGAGCAGUCAGGACCUUGCCCUCCGCCUCGAGGCUGCUGUGGCUCUCUGCUAGGACAGGGGCGAGGCAGCCAGGCCACACCAGGCCCCCAGGAAGCAUCCUGUCAUCUUGUGGGAGCCAAGGCCCGGCCAGACUGGGGGAAGUCAGUGACAGGGCUGGGGACUUGGCACCUGUGCUGUUUGCAGUCAGACGGCCAGGUCCCGCCACCCCGGCACCAUCCUGAGCUCAGCCCGCAGCCUGAGAGGUGGUUUUAAACACUUGCUUUUAUCUGUUUCCCCAAAUGCGUGGAGCCACCUAGGGGUGGAGCUGGAGGCAUUUUCUCUUCAAAUUCUGUCUCACACAGUUGCUGGAUCAGAUUUCAUUUUUAAAAAUGGAACCCACGCCUUUUGUUAUCCACUCCGUGUAUUUAUGGUGUCCACCCCGGUGUAGCUGGGCAGCUUGCCCAUUGUCGGUCACAAGAGGGAGGCAUAAGCAAUUUACGAGAAUUAAAAGGGCCAUUUAGAAAAGUAUUUCAGCCAGGUGUAGCGGCACAUGCCUGUAAUCCCAGCAUUCUGGGAGCCCGAAGGCAAGAGGGUUGUGAGUUCAAAAUCAGCCCAGACAAGUUAGUGAUUUAGCAAAACCCUGUCUCAACAUAUAAAUGAACAAAUGAGUAAAUAGGCUGAGGAUGCGGCUCUGUGUGAAGGCCCUGGGUUCUGAAUCCCCAGUUCUGAAAACAAACAAAUAUUUUGAGGGCAGGCAGUGCACACAGUGGGAAAUCAGAUUGUGGGCACAAGUAUGGGGGGGCCAGUUCCAGACACCAGGCAUGGCGGGAACGGGCAGUCCUGGAGCAAGCCUCUGGCUGGCAGCAUCUGCAUGGCAGGGUGGGGAGAGGUGGCCCUGCUGGCCCGUGUUUUGGUUCAUCCUUCAUCUGGCUGAGGCCUCUUUCUUGGCAUCUGGCCCUGUGCACCUGUCCAUGGCCCAGCACAUCCCCUGUCCAGCAGGAGCGGUGGCCUCCCGGAAGCAGGGAGGAGCCGUGGGGGUGGCUGCCCCCUGGUGCUCCUCGCAGGCCAGGGUGUCGAAGGCACAGACAUCACGGCAGAGUUUCUCUCAGCUGCAGCCUCCUUGAGAGCUUUAUGGCCCUGGCCCUCGCUGUGUCCCCUAGGAAGGACCUGGGAUCUCGGGGGGCCCUUGGCGCUCUGGGGUAGAGAAUCUGCUGAGGUGGGAAAACACCGGGCAAAGGUGGAACAUUAGACUUUAUCUUCUUCCCAGGCUGGUUCCUUCCCAAACUGAUGGGACCAAGACAACUCCAGAAGUCCUUGUCCAUCCUUGAGCUCUGUGGUUCAUGGAUAAAAGACCUAAAUAUUCAGGUCAGGAUGGCAAGGAGGUGGUGGGCGUGCAGAUGGAUCUCCAGUGGAGGAUCCCAGGCUGAACAUGCUGGGGGGGAAAGGUGAUGUUGGAGGGAUGCCACAUUGCUGGCAUGUUUGCUUCCGUGUCCCCCUGUGGCCUGGCAAGUCAGGACCACUCCUUCGCUGGGAGGGGUCUGUGUGGCUGCUAUCCGCUAAUGACAUGCCAGCAUGUGAAGGUCACCUGUCAAUCGGGUGUUAAGCAAAGACAGGUUCUGGUGAGGGUGCUCUGUUCUCUGUUUUGGUGUGGGACUUCAGCAACUCAGAGCUUGGCACUUUUGGCCUGGUUUUUGACAGCACAGUCCCCGGGCUGCACUCGGGGGAUGCUGCCUUUCCCAGGGUCCGGGUUGGGAAGGGUCACCGCACACCUCUGCCUCCUCAUUGGACCACAGAUUCUGUGCCAGCCACGCUGGAGCCACAUUUGCUCCUGCUGUCUCCCAGUGUCCUCACUGCCUCUCCUCUCAUGGUUCUGCGUUUUGUAGGAAUCACUGAGCCUGAGCUUGAAGCAGCUCAGAGACUCACUGGCAGGAUACACACGCCAGAGCUGGUGUCCAUGGCUGCUGCCAAGCCUUGUCUCCAGCUGGCCAGCCCCGUGGAGGAAGGGGUGGGGAGGUCACAGGCACAGAAAACGUCCAUGGUGCUGUCCCCUGCUGCCCCUGAGGUAGUUUGGCAGGGGCAGCCCCUGGAAAGAGCCUGGCUUUGUAUAUGGCCUUUGUGUCCCCUCCCAAGGCUGUUGAGUUCCCAGCCACCUCCCAGUGAUAAGCCUGGGACAUCACGCCACAUUUGUAGGGCCUCAGACAGCCACUUCCCUUACACUUUCCUGUUAUUCUAACUGGAAUGAUACCUGCUCAGCAUCGAGGCCAUUCUUAGUCACACUUUUUGCUCAGAUUAGAUAGUAAUCAAUUUUGUGUUAUUUAAAAGUGUGGAACAGGAGGUCAAGCUAAAUGGAUGCUGUUCUCUGGAUUCCACCACACUGCAUACCUCUUCCUCCUGCUGAUGGCUUUCUGUCUUGGGGGCUGGAUGGUUCCUUUGUCUCCUUGGGUCCUCUGGGACCGGAAGGACUUGGAUCUCAUCUGCCUGGGCCCUGUGGGUAAAUUGAAAGGUUUCCGGAAUUGGUUUAAGAAGUCAGUAAAUAAUUUGGCUUCAGAGGGGCCUGCAGAGCCCACGUGGCCAGCAGCAGGUUGUUCUGUGGAUCACAAGAGCGUGUAGCUGGUGACAGGGCCACAAGAGGCCCAGGGUGACAGUCUCUGCUGGUCCUCACGGUGCUCACCCACUGGCCCUGGCCCCUCCAGGUGAGACCACCUCUGUGCUGGGGUGUGUGUCACACAGUCCCUGCCAGCACUGCAGGCCCACUGAGGCACGCAGCCCUUUUGCUUUUUAGGUAGCAAGAUACAGGCCUGGAUCAGGUCCAGCUUGCCAGGAACUUACCGUGAGGGCCUGACACAUGUUAACGGGGGCUGUGGGGUUCUCACCGAGCUCCCCAGGACCUGCUAACCGGGAGGGAGAUGAGAUGCGUGAGCAGAGGCCCCUCCUGUGGCCUUGGGGUGGGGUAGGAGGAGGCACAGAUGCUGUGGGGUCACAGGCGGGGAAGCGCUCCCUGGAGGGACAGUGGCUUCAGACAGGAGGUUCCCAGCAAGAGCAGCCAGGGCUUGGCCGGGCAGAGACCCUGCAUGUGUCUGACCUAUACCCGCUCCUGCCUCAAGGUGCCAUCCAGAAUGAUCCUGGGCAGCCUGCUCACCAGUGCCUCCCUGCCUCCCCUGGCAGUCCCGGGCCGUUUUCAUUUACUCAUUCAUUCACUCAUUCAUUCAUUCACUCACUCAUUCACUCACUUGUCCAGCCUCACGUUCACUCGUUCAUAGCAUGUUCACUUGAUCAUUCAGUCACUGACUCAUUCAUUUACUCACUCCAUCUGCUCAUUCAUUCAUUCAUUCAAUCAGAACUCACUCAUACGCUGGCUCAGCCCUUCAUGUGCUCAUUUGCUCACUCAUUCCUCAAACAAACCGACCUGGCAGUUAUGGUGGGUGGGAG
rnacentral:lncRNA from 1 species